GACUAGAGUAGGGCGGGACACGUGAAAUCCUGUCUGAACAUGGGGGGACCACCCUCCAAGCCUAAAUACUCGUACAUGACCGAUAGCGAACUAAGUACCGUGAGGGAAAGGUGAAAAGCACCCCGAUGAGGGGAGUGAAAGAGACCUGAAACCGAAUGCUUACAAGCAGUCGGAGCAGCCUUGAGCUGUGACGGCGUACCUUUUGUAUAAUGGGUCAGCGAGUUACUUUGACGAGCAAGCCUAAGCCGUUAGGCGUAAGCGAAGCGAAAGCGAGUCUGAAUAGGGCGUUUAGUUCGUUUGAGUAGACCCGAAACCGGGUGAUCUAGCCAUGGGCAGGUUGAAGGUACGGUAACACGUACUGAAGGACCGAACCCACGUCUGUUGAA
rnacentral:rRNA from 1 species